CAACCCAGGAUUCCAAAGCUCUGCAAAGGAAUGCAGGUCUCAACUCCCCUACUGCUUAGCACUCACUACUAGACUAACCCUGCUGAGAAGACUGAAAAGAGAAAACAAUGGGAGCUUCCAAUCUUUGCCAUGGUCAGAAGAAUCCCAAAAACAAGAAGGAGGAGGAGGAGAAAGCAGAGGAAAAGGAGAAGUGAUCAAAUUUACAAUCUCAGGAUCUCCAACUUUGUCAAAGAAAACAUGUCCUUUUAAAGGAAGUAAUUCACCUCACUGCAGGGAUCAAAACUAGGGAAAUCAGAAGUGCCAUUUAAUACUUUCAUCACAAGUUAAGUGCAAAACAGUGGUCUUCAGAGAGGAAGAGUAAUUUAAAUAUUGUACUCAAUGAAGCAUUAAAAACAAAUUAGGCCACUGCUGUUAAUUCCCAUUUAUUUUGAUUUCAUUUUUUCCUUUGGUAAUUUGUAGUCAAACAAUCAGUUAAGAUGUAAGUAAACAAAUACUUGGGAACCCUUUAAAGCCAUAAACAAAUAUUACCUUUUUUUAAGCAGUCAAGAAUUCUUUUUUUUAAAAAAAAAUUACAUUUCAUAUGUUUUCCCUGUCAAAUGUCUGCUCUCUGCAAACCUCCCGCCCCACAAAUGUUACUUUCAAAACAUCUAAAGGAUCUAUUUGAAAAAGAAGGCUCAAAAGGAGAACUACCACAGAACAGCACAGCAGCAUGCAUGGAUCAUCUCAUCGUCCUGAUUACACAGGCCUUGUCCCUGCUGGACACCUCUACUGCAAAUAUUUUCCAGCCGAGGAGGAAGAUAAGAUUUGGGUUUCUUGCUUUUCAUUCACUCUAUAAAACUCAAUGCCAGGUUGGCAGGUGGGGAGCCAGAUGCUUCACCCUUCCUUGGUUUCCUGCUUUCUAAAGAUACUAAAAGGAAAAACAAUUGAGGUUUGAAGGUGGGAGUCAAAAAUAAUCACCUUUUCCCUUGUUAACCCUAAUACUUGAAAUUGCUUUUAAAUCACUGGGCAGAUGAAAUCCCUAUUGUAAAACUUUGAAUCUCAUUUUAUCUGCUUGAAGCAGAAGGUCCGCUCUUUUCUGGAUUUCAUCAGCAACUUUGUAGCAGAACAGGAAGUAUAAUAAGUGAAUGAGGGGUGGCCUGUGUUUCACAGGGACAGGCCAGCUACACCUCCACAAGAAAUUCAAUCUUCUAGGUCUGAAUGUGUAGAGGGAGGAAAAGAGACAGUUGUUUUCAAUGAGC
rnacentral:lncRNA from 1 species